rnacentral:rRNA from 1 species
CCUACGGGAUGCAGCAGUGGGGAAUAUUGGGCAAUGGACGCAAGUCUGACCCAGCAACGCCGCGUGAAGGAAGAAGGCUUUCGGGUUGUAAACUUCUUUUAAGGGGGAAGAGCAGAAGACGGUACCCCUUGAAUAAGCCACGGCUAAUUCCGUGCCAGCAGCCGCGGUAAUACGGAAGGCCCGAGCGUUAUCCGGAUUCAUUGGGCUUAAAGGGAGCGUAGGCGGGCGUUCAAGUCAGCUGUAAAAUCGCGCGGCUCAACCGCGCCCCGCAGUUGAAACUGGACGCCUUGAGUUCACAACAGGCAGGCGGAAUUCGUGGUGUAGCGGUGAAAUGCAUAGAUAUCACGAGGAACCCCGAUUGUGAAGGCAGCCUGCCGGGGUGCGACUGACGCUGAGGCUCGAAGGUGCGGGUAUCAAACAGGAUUAGAUACCCUAGUAGUC